rnacentral:rRNA from 1 species
AUUGAACGCUGGCGGCAUGCCUUACACAUGCAAGUCGAACGGUAACGCGCCUUGGGGUGCCGCCUACUGGCGGCCGGUUGCGUACUACUUCGGAACGUGCCCGAAUCUAGUUUUUAACGAGGCGUAACCUUUGCUAAUACCGCCUACUACCUCCGGAUACCUACGGGGGACCGCAAGGCCUUUCGCGGCCUGAGCGGCCUAUAUCAGCCUAUGUCGGAUUAGGUAGUUGGUGGGAUAAAGCCCCACCAAUGCGACGAUCUGUAGCUGGUCUGAGAGGAUGAUCAGCCACACUGGAACUGAGACACGGCCCAGACUCCUACGGGAGGCAGCAGUGGGGAAUUUUGGACAAUGGGCGCAAGCCUGAUCCAGCCAUGCCGCGUGCAGGAUGAAGGCCUUCGGGUUGUAAAGUGCUUUUGUACGGAAAGAAAAGCAGUAGGUUAAUACAGGAGGGUCAUGACGGUACCGAAAGAAUAAGCACCGGCUAACUACGUG